rnacentral:rRNA from 1 species
UAGGGAAUCUUCGGCAAUGGGGGGAACCCUGACCGAGCAACGCCGCGUGAGUGAAGAAGGUUUUCGGAUCGUAAAGCUCUGUUGUUAAGGAAGAACGAGUGUGAGAAUGGAAAGUUCAUGCUGUUACGGUACUUAACCAGAAAGGGACGGCUAACUACGUGCCAGCAGCCGCGGUAAUACGUAGGUCCCGAGCGUUGUCCGGAUUUAUUGGGCGUAAAGCGAGCGCAGGCGGUUAGAAAAGUCUGAAGUGAAAGGCAGUGGCUCAACCAUUGUAGGCUUUGGAAACUGUUUAACUUGAGUGCAGAAGGGGAGAGUGGAAUUCCAUGUGUAGCGGUGAAAUGCGGAGAUAUAUGGAGGAACACCGGUGGCGAAAGCGGCUCUCUGGUCUGUAACUGACGCUGAGGCUCGAAAGCGUGGGGAGCGAACAGG